GUGGCUAUGAAAAAAAACGGAAGUCUUUAUUCUCUUCUCUUCCUCUCUUCGUCUGUAUCUCUUCCUCUCUGUCUCUCUCCCUAUCGCCGAUAACGGACUUCUCCUUCCUCAGAUCAUAUGCUCCGGCGUUGUUUUUUACAGCAAGCUAAAGAAUAAAGAUCGCGGCUUUGAUGAAUCUGAAGCUGAUGAGUAUCGAGAGCAGAAGGAAAGACAAGGACUUUGAGAAUUUCGUGGGGUUGCAGCUUGGUGGUGGAUAUCGUGACAAAGGACCUCCAAGCGAAGUCGUUGAAGUUGCAACCUUUCUCCAUGCUUGUGAGGGUGAUGCUGUGACCAAGCUCUCCCAAGAGAAGAUCCCUUACUUAAAUGCCCCGAUCUACCUGCAACACAAGACUCAGAUUGGGAAAGUAGAUGAGAUCUUUGGUCCCAUUAAUGAAUCUUAUGGUAGCUACCUCAUACGCUGAAGGGGACAAGUUCUACAUCGACCAUGCAAAGCUAUUACCUCUAGCAAGAUUCCUUCCUCAACUAAAGAAGCUCAUGGACACACAUUGUCCAUUUGGUCUUCGCCCAAUUGGACCAUGUACCAAUUGGUCUUUUGUCCAGUUUGACCAUUUAUUAAUUGGACACGUCCAUAGCCCGCCCAAAAUGAAUUGGACUGGGCUAGCCCAUGGUCAGCCCGCCCAGUUGACACCUCUAUAUGCCACCGUGGAUUUGAGGGUUUCGAGAAGGAAAUAUCUGGUUUCUUGUUCGCUUGGCGUUUUGGUAGAUACGCUUACUGGUUUGGUAUUAGCUGUUGAUGGUUUUGUUGCUAUUGUGGAGCCAAGAAGAAGGGGAAGGGAGAUUAUGCAAGGAAGGUUUUGUAUUUGGUAUAUCUUCUGUUGUAUCAGGUUGUGCAGCUCUCAAGUGUUUAGAAGCCAAAGUUGUCAAAGACUAGGUUCCUCUGGUUUUAGUGUUACAGUUGAUUGAUAUGAUUGGCAACCAUUACUUGUAAGCUGUGAAAGAGAGGAAGCACGAUACAAGAGAGUCUAGCAGAAAGGCCAUAAUCAUUGACUGAAAAGUGUGGCCAAGGGCGUUUGUGUCUUCUUACCAAAAUCACACUUGUUUCAAAGGGUUUUUAAGGAGAUCUUAAGCCUUUCUUGAUGAUUGACUCAUAGUCUCAUACCACAAAAUAGGAAGAACUAGCAAUCUUGUCAUAGUUUCUCCAUAUCAAUCUUCUUGACUUUAUAGUAGUCAGGCCCUUUCCAAAGCCAAAAGGCCAUUUAUUUUGGUCAGGGUUUUAGUUCUCGGCUACUGUUGUUACAUCUAAAUCUAAAGAUAGAGAAAUGGAAGAAGAGAAGAAGAGAGUUAGGUGUUGCAGUGAUUGCAGAACCACCAAGACACCAAUGUGGAGAGGUGGACCAUCUGGUCCCAAGUCACUGUGCAAUGCAUGUGGGAUCAGAUUCAUGAGACAGAGACGAUCCGAGUUCUUGGGCAUUCAUAGACACAAGGCAUACAAGAAGAAGAUAAACACAUCAAUAUUGUCAUCAAAAUUUUGCGUGUCUCUCAAGAAAAGAAAGAGUUUAAAGGAGGAAGAACAAGCUGCUCUUUGUCUACUAUUAUUGUCUUGCAGCUCUGUUCUCGCCUGAAAGAAAUAAACAGAGUAUCUCUGAAAAGACAGUUUUGCCCUUUAUUUUAUCCACGCUCUUUGGGCCAUUCUUUUUGAAUAUAUUAACGUAGUGAAGUUGGGCCUGUUUUGUAUCAACAGUCCUGACCCGUAGAAACGAUUGGUCAAAGCCAUUUCGUGGUCAAAGCUUAAAAGGUUAAUUUAGACCGGAGCAUUUCGGUUUAUGGCUUUGCAUUGACAGUCUGU